rnacentral:lncRNA from 1 species
AUACAAAUAAGAGUCGUCUUAUUAAAUUCGCAAGUCGUUCAUAAAAUAGAUGGACUGUGUGAUUCAAGUGUCAGAUGAGAUUUACGAUGAAUUACAAACCACAUUUUUUACUACUGAAAAAGCGGAUCCUCUUUUAGAAAUUUGUAAGGGAUAUGCUAGCAUAGCAUUAAUAAAAAAUGUGACACCCCAUUAGUUUUACAUUGGAUGAAAAUGAGAUUGUUAUUGGAUACUAUCGAUAACACGGAGGUGUGAGAUCCCUGGUGUUUGACUGUGGAGGCUUGUCGACAGCUCUAGAGAGUGUCGGGACAAGCCCGAGUCGCGUUGGCGUCAAAUAGACGUAAAACG